rnacentral:tRNA from 2 species
UUAAUCGAAGCAGAUUUUAUGCGAUUAACUGUUAAUUAAUAAGAAGCUUUUUAAAAGUCGUUUAAA